GGGGAGUUCUUUUCCAUUUCAUAGCUACCUUUAUUUGCUCCUUGCAGAGGUCUAGGCUGUAUGCAUAAUAAGGUAGGCCUUCCAUAUAUGGGUGGGGCCUGGCUUUACUAUGCAUGUGCUGACAGUUACGUACAUAACAUGAAGAUUCCCUCUGCCUCCUGGUCUUGUUUUGUUGGUUGACCUUAGUAGGAGACUUUAAUGGUGGAGACUUUUUCAAAGUCUGGUGACUAGUGGGAGCACAUAUGAGAAUAAUAUUUUUACCGCUUUUGAUGGGUGGCAAGUCCUUGCUUCCCCAAUGUUGUAGAAUAACACCAGAGAAGCACACCGAGGCAAGGUCAGAGUGGAAAAUUAUAAGUUUAUUAAAGGAUAGUAGAAAAGACUUCUCCCGGAGGAAGAAGGGGACCCAAGAGAUGGAAUCUGUUGAAGGGCGAAUGUGUUCCCCUUUUUAUAGUUUUUGGUGAUGGAAUGUAGGUGGGGAAAGCCCGAGGGGUGGGACACAGGUGGGCCAAAGAAGUAAUCUGGGCAGGAAGGACUUCUGAGGCAGCAUCUUCAAGUUUGCUUGAAUGUUCAUUAACGUUUCUUUGGGAUGGGCUAUCUUCAAAUCUGCUGGGACUGUUCAUUAACACUUCUUUGGGAUGGGCUAUCUUUAAAUCUGCUGGGGGCUGUUUCCUGGACUUCAUUAACAUUUCAAGAGUUGCUCAACUUUUCCAGGGAUUCAUUCUCACAGCCUCCAUUUUAGAUCUCACUUGAUAUUAGACCUGAUUUACCUAACUACACUGACUACCUAAUUUUAAAUCUGGCUUCAAUAUCAUAAACAAUUUGUUUAUAUUUAUGGUACUUCAGUUAGGACAUCACUUAGGAUGAUCAGGUGGGAAGUCACUGUAGACAUUUAACCAGUGAGUCUUUAAAUGACAGACUGUAGAGGUUUGUGGGUAUUCAGUUUUUUUUAGCUCGUAUCACAAAAUUUUUAUUUGCAGUUUCAAUUUUUUUUUAAGAGAAGAACCCCUACAAUUUUAAGGUGUGUAUGUCAGGCACCCAUGGCCACUAUAUGAGAAUGAUAGUGAGGAAAGUAGGAAGAUUCAGCUCCAUGUCUUAUUCCUGCCUUUUUUGUUUUGCUUUGUUUUUUUGGUACUAGGGAUUGAACCCAGGGGUGCUUAACCACUGAGCCACAUCCCCAGCCCUUUUUAUAUAUUCUUUAGAGACAGCAUCUUACCAAGUUGCUUAGGGCCUCGUUAAAUUGCUGAGGCUGGCUUUGAACUCACAAUCCUACUGCCUCAGCCUCCUGGGCAGCUGGGAUUACAGGCAUGCACCACCGUACUGUAAGGGUCCGGCGAACGUUGGAGGAAGAGACCACCAAGAGACCGACUCAUGCAACCGCAAAAGGGGGUUUAUUGAAGAAUCCAGCGCGCUGGGGCUCCGUGCUCACUCAACAAGGGAGAGUGGCCCAGAGCCCCGAGCAGGGGUUGAGCAGUGCUUAAGUACACUUUUUGGGGAGGGCGGGGACUUUAUAUACAUCACAGUCUCCUUUAACAAAUCACCAUACAAAUCAAACAACAAUUCUCAAACAUGAUUAGUACAUUCAUUGGCGGGAACAGGUCGGGCGGGAAGUGGGGGUACAUUCAAACUGAUUGGUUUGGGCCCUGAAUGCCUACAUGCCAAACUGCACAGGGUCCAGGUUAUUUAUCUACUGGACAGUCCCGGGAAUUGUUUUAACAACUACAGGAAUUUCAGGUUUUGGGUGUAGCAUAGGAACUUAACAAUACCUGGUCCUUUACAUUUUAACUCAGGCUUUGCAGCUUAGAAACUUUACAAUACCCAUUUUUUUUACACUUUAACUUCAAUUUCUUUUACUCUUACAGUACUUACUCCCGCCUUUGCUCUACUGGGAAUUUAUAAGAUAUGUAAUGUGGAGAUACAAGGGAUGGAGGGUUUCCUUCCUCCUUGGCUACAGUUCCCUUUUCCAUCUCCCCACCGAGUAAUUCCAGUUCUUGUCCUCCUGUGUCUAGAGUUAUCAGUUACUGCUACCUCUGUUACUGUGUGUGUAUGAAAGAAAUAUAUACAACAUAAAAUUUAUCAUCUUAACCCUUUUUCUUUAUUUUUGAAUUUUUUAUUUUGGUAGAUGGACACAAUACCUUUAUUUUAUUUAUUUUUAUGUGGUGCUGAGGACCGAAGCCAGUGCCUCACAUGUGCUAGGCAAGCGCUCUGCCACCAAGCCACAGCCCAGGCCCAUUUUAACCCUUUUUCAUUGUACAGUUCAGUGGCGUUAGAUACAUUUUCAUUAUGGUGCAGCCAUUGCUCAUCACCAUCUCCAGAACUUUCUUGUCUUACCCAAAUGAACUCUACCUACUAAACACUGACUUCCCAUUCUCCUUUCUCCCUGCAGCCCCUGGCGACCACCAUUCUACUCUCCAUGGGUUGGGCUCAUUUAGGAACAUCUUAUAAGUUGAAUCAUGCAAUAUUUGUCCCUUUGAAGCCAGAUUUAAAGUUAGGUAGUCAGUGUAGUUAGGUAAAUCGGGUCUAAUAUCGAGUAAGAUCUAAAAUGGAGGCCAUGCUGACAAUGAUUCCGGGAAAUGCAGGACAACUCAUGGAAUGUUAAUGAAGUCCCAGAAAGGCCCUAGGCCAAAGUCCACCCCAAAGAAAUGUUAAUAGAACCCAGGAAACAGCCCCCAACAGAUUUGGAGAUAGCCCAUCCCAAGAAGUGAUAAUGAAGUCCUUCCUGCCCAGAUUACUUGUUUGGCCCACCUGUGUCCCACCCCUCGGGUCUUCCAACCUACAUUCCAUCACCAAAACUAUAAAAGGGGGAGUCAACCGCAAUUCCACGGAUUCCACCUCUUGGGUCCCCUUCUUCCUCUGGGAGAAGUCUUUUCUGCUGUCUUUU
rnacentral:lncRNA from 1 species